GCUUACGGCCACACCGGCCUGAGUACGCCUGAUCUCGUCCGAUCUCGGAAGCUAAGCAGGGUCGGGCCUGGUUAGUACUUGGAUGGGAGGACCGCCCUGGGAAUACCAGGUGCUGUAAGCU
rnacentral:rRNA from 1 species